AUUGAACGCUGGCGGCAGGCUUAACACAUGCAAGUCGAGCGGAGCGAGGGUGCUUGCACCUUAGCUUAGCGGCGGACGGGUGAGUAAUGCUUAGGAAUCUGCCUAUUAGUGGGGGACAACAUUCCGAAAGGAAUGCUAAUACCGCAUACGCCCUACGGGGGAAAGCAGGGGAUCUUCGGACCUUGCGCUAAUAGAUGAGCCUAAGUCGGAUUAGCUAGUUGGUGGGGUAAAGGCCUACCAAGGCGACGAUCUGUAGCGGGUCUGAGAGGAUGAACCGCCACACUGGGACUGAGACACGGCCCAGACUCCUACGGGAGGCAGCAGUGGGGAAUAUUGGGCAAUGGGCGGAAGCCUGAUCCAGCCAUGCCGCGUGUGUGAAGAAGGCCUUUUGGUUGUAAAGCACUUUAAGCGAGGAGGAGGCUACUUAGAUUAAUACUCUGGGAUAGUGGACGUUACUCGCAGAAUAAGCACCGGCUAACUCUGUGCCAGCCGCCGCAGUAACAC
rnacentral:rRNA from 1 species